rnacentral:lncRNA from 1 species
GACAUUGAGUGCCUGGAGCCCUCCCUAGCUCUCCAGCUGGAACCUUCCUCUGUAGGAAGGCUGAGGCUAGCAGGGAGAAGCCAGGAUGGAUUUUAAAGAGCCUUGUUGUCUCUAAGGAAGAGUGGAGCUUACAUCUUUGGGUUUGCAGAAAUGCCCACAUUCAACUCAGGGGGAAUAAAAGGAUGGGAGUUAGAAUUUCAACUUGCAGUUGCAGAAUCUCAGAGUUAAAAGAAACCUCAGAGGUCAUCUCUUCCAACCCUUCUCCAGAGCAGCUUUAAUUGCCUGUGUGGGAGAUUCAGGGCCAGCAGCUGCAGCUUCCCUUUCCCUGCCUCUGACUUGCCAGGUGAGUUUAGAUGAGUUCCUUGCUUUCUUGAGUGUUUAUUAUUAUUACUAAUAAACAAGAGGAUGAAUAUUUGAAGUUCUUCUGCUGUCUUAAAGCCCUCAAACUCCACUGGCUACUGAAAUCUUAUAUGCAAGCUUUAUACCUGUAACUUGUUAAAGGAGAGCUGCUUUGAUAAAAAUAGGGUUAUAGUCCUCCUGCUGAACCUCCCAUCUCCACCUGGCCCCCAGAAGUCACUCAGGAGGCUCUCUUGACCCCCUAGGGAUUUGUGGAGUACAGUUGGAAAGGGUGGCACUGUGACCUAUGGUUAUAAUAACACCGGCACCUACUUAUUGAACAUUAACCAGGCAUCAGGGGCUUGGCACAGGUCAUGUUCAGUUCUGACAGACACUUUGGGGGCUCUGUAUCCUUAUCCCCAUAUCAUAUAUCAGGUCUGAGCCUCAGGGAGGUGCUCGUUGCUCUGCCACACAGAGGUCACACAGGAAGGAAGUGGUGGAGACUCAGUUCCAGCCCAGGUAGCUCAGCAGCAAGGCCUGUCUGCUUCAGCUCUGAGCUUUACUGCCUCUUUGUGACUUGUGACCUUCAACCUGACACACAGCAUCCCAGCCUUCCCUGGAGUUUGGUUUUUUGAGUUGUCAUCCCACCUGCCAUCUCUGACAGCCCCAGUAUUUAGUGUUUUAGGUGCUCCCAGAUCCACGAUGUGUAGUAAUAGGCUAAAGGCAUCAGUGUUCUCUAGAAUACUUCGUACCACUUAGCAAAUAGCCUCUGUGACGCCACUGGUUUUGUGAUUUUCCCAAGCAAACUUUACUAUCCCUUUCUUAUUGUCCUCAUCACUUACUCUUGUUUGCACAAAGCCCAGGCUCUAAUUUAUUCCCCUUGUCCUUAAUCCUCUCAUCUCUUUCUCCAGGCUGGUCUUGAACUUCAGACCUCAAGAGAUCCACUGCCUUGUCCUCUCAAAGUGCUGGGAUUAUAGACGUGAGCUACCGCGCCCAGGCUUAGAGCCCAGCUUAUACCCAGUUACUUAGCUUCUGUGUGUGUGUGUGUUUGUAAAUGAACUAUUAUAUUUCAGGAAGUUCCUAGCAGGGAGGAUGAGAUGGAAUCAGUGAAUUUUAGAUCUCAAGGAGAACUAGAGAUUGCUUGGUCCAACCUCUUUCCUCUGCAAGAGGGCCCUUGUGGGGAAGGGACUGGCCAAGGCUACCCAAAGAGCUUGGAGAGAGGUGCAGGGCAUGUGACCAUGUGCAAAGCAUUUGCCAGUAGAGUUCGGCAUUUUUUCCUGGCGCGUUCACCUCCUGACAGGGCACCAGGAAGGUGCUGCACAGCCUGGCAUGUGGUGGGUGGUGUUUAUCUGCACAAGUCACCCAAGUGAUCAGAACGCUUUUACGGAAAACAAUGGCUUUGAUGUUCUGGGUGACAAGACCAAAGCAUGCUGGCGGGAAGGGAGGUUUUUGGGGUUAGAGAAAUGAAAACUAUUUACAUUUAGGGCUGACUUAAUAACUUAACACCUCUGAAGUGGGAGGAUGUUUUUGAGGGAAAGUUGAAUGUAAGUGUAGUACAAAAAGGAAAGUUUGAGGUAGAAGACUAGGAGUGGAAAUACUUCUAAUGGCUCAGGGAAAACGUCCUGGUAAGGUUGAACUUCCAGAUGCCUCCUUUCUUCCCACACCCCCACUGCAUCCUCUGUUUCUACGGUGAGAUUUGCAUGGCACUUUACAGUUUCCAAAGCAUUUCCUCACAUAUUAUCUUCUUCAGUCCUCCCAGGAGGUGGUGCCACCAAAGGCUGUCUGACCACACCUGCGGCUUUUGGAGGGAGCUUGGCUUGGAACCCAGGGUUCUCUGAGUCAAAAUCCUUUUUUCCUGGGACAGUGGUGGUCCUCACAUUCCCUUCAAGACUAUAGACUUUAGAAGCCCAGUCUCUGGCGCUAGACUUCCUUCCUUCACCUACCAGGCUUCUCCCUCUGCAGAGGUCUUGGGCGCCUUUUGUGACCAUUCUGUGACGUGGUUUCUUGAAAUGUAAGAUGGGGAUAAUGUGAGCAC